GCUAGCUGUGCGCCAGGGGGCGGGGGAAUAGGGGGGGGGCAGGGGGUAGUGGGAAUAGCCGGGGGGAAAGCGGGGGUAGGGGGUUGGUUAAGUUGGAUGUGGAAUCCCCGGGCUCAACCUGGGAACUGCAUCCAAAACGGGCAAGCUAGAGGAUGGUAGAGGGUGGUGGAAUUUCCUGUGUAGCGGUGAAAUGCGUAGAUAUAGGAAGGAACACCAGUGGCGAAGGCGACCACCUGGACUGAUACUGACACUGAGGUGCGAAAGCGUGGGGAGCAAACAGGAUUAGAUACCCGUGUAGUC
rnacentral:rRNA from 1 species